ensembl:lncRNA
AUGAGGAAAGCAGGUGGUCUUAUGUUUUCCAAGGCUGGAGGACCAGGCUGCCCUGAGUUUCUCCUCCACAACCUGAAGAUAGCUUCCUACAUCUGCUCAGUUACCUCCCUACUGGGCAUUCCAUCUGUUUCCCAUGAACAAGAAUUGCAGCAUCAUUUUAAGGAGUUUCCAAGUGCAAUGCCAAGAUCAUCAAAAUCUAGUGGCAAGACAAAAGUCAAGAUGAAUGGUGAUGGCCCAAGAUGCAGUGAAUGACCUUGGCAUUUUCCAUGUCUGACCACUCCAUUAGCACCUGCUUCCACUGCUUUCAUGGCCAUUGGAACAAAUUGCUUUCAUCCACCCUUCUCAGGGGGAAGUUUCCACAUAUCUGGGAUAGGUAACCUCACUGAUAGGUUUGAGACCUGUUGUCCACCAAUUUCUAUGUACUCUCUUCCUUUAUCACUUGGCCUGGCUCAUAGUCCUUUCCUCCCUGCCUCUCAACCUCACACUAAAGGCCUUCAACACAUAUAUUGAUAUUCCUUCAGACUCUAAACUGUCAAUUCUUCAAUCUACUAAUUUCCUAUAACUUACUCUUCUGUCCUACCCCAGCUACACACAGAAAUGAUAAUACUGAUCAUAAUAACAUCAUAAUUCACAACUAUUCUGCAUUUAUGUUAAUGAACUCUGAAAUUCAUUUAUCUGAUGACAAUGUUUUUAUUUCACUUAUUGCUCUUUCUUGCAUCCUCUACUCCUCAGUCAUAACAUGACCUCUAAUAUUCCUAUUCCUUAGCUAUUUUCCAAGCCUUAGCCCCAUUUGUGUCUUCUGAAUUUCUUACAUUUAUUGAGUUUUUAGUUCUCUAAAAACUGACUUCCUUUUUGUUAUCUUUUUAUUUAUAUUGUUUUAGUCAUAUAUAUUAUUCUUUUGGUUCCACUUAUUUCCCUCUGAAUCAAUUCAUGCAACUCUUGUAUUUUUCUGAAUUCUUCAUAUUCAUUAUUCAUUACUAUAUGAUAAUAUUUCAUCAUAUUAGUAUGCCAAAAGUUGCUUUAAAAAAAACUCAUUCCUAAAUCAAUGGACACCAGCUCUGUUUCUUUACUACAACAAAACAUGCUCUCUUCUGUCCUCCAACUUGACCCUCUGGUGAAGCAGUUCAACUCUAACCUGGCCUCUUCUCUUGAGUUUCUUGCCACUUUAUGCUAUAGAAGACCUUUCCCUACAAAGCCUCAGCCUUGGAUUACUCCUGCCAUCUUCUGCCUUUCUCCUUGUCAUAGUAAUCCACUAUAUAUGCGUCAAUGAUCCCAUUCUAUCUUGUUGUCUUCAUUAGAUCAGCCCCUCUAUUAUUCCUACUAUUUUACUAAUAUUCAAUCACUCUGUAUUCACUAUUUCCCUAGGAUCUACAAAUAUGACCACAUCAUCUCCAUACUCAAAAACCCCCUCAUUUCAUCUUUGCAUUUCCAUUGCCUAUCAUCCCAUAGCUAGCCUCUCUUAUGUGACUAAAUACUUUGAGAAGGCCAUCUAUAAUAGGUGCUUCCACUUCCUUUCCUCUCUAUCUCUUCAUAAAUCCUUAGAGUCUAUCUUCCACACUAAUUCAAUGAAACUACUCUCUCCAAAGUUACUAAUGAUUUUAUAAUCAACAAAUCGAAUGGCCUUUCCUUCUUUGUGACUCUUCACAUCAUUGAACACCCUCUUCUUGAAACUAUUUAAGAUUUUGCCACAAUACCAACUUCUGGUUCUCCUCCUAUCUAUAUGACCACUCCUCUGUCUCCUCUGCUCUGUUUCAUGCUCACUAACAAUAAGUAUCCCCCAAGACUCCUUCCUCUUUUUCAUCUAUAUAAUUUUAUAUGGUCAUCUCACCAGAUCUCAUUGUUCCAUAAUUAUUUAUGUGUGGAUGAUUCUCAGAUCUGUUGUUAGCCUAAUAAACUACUAGAGUUGACUCUCCA